UGCAAAUGUUCUCUGUGUUUAAGAAUGUAUACAAACAUCUGUAAGGUAUCUGAUGUGUAUCAAUCAAAUGCACAGCCGUCUUCCUGUAUGUCAUUAUUUUCUGCAAAGUUCUUGGUAUGUACUACAGCUCCGGCCUACUCUGAAGUAGUCUCAGGUAGAGGGGAGGGAGUAAGUGGGGAGCCGUGUGCACUCUGCGGGAAGAGAGACAGGAGAGAUGAGCAUCAGUGUCUGUGGGCGCAGAGUUCAUAGGCAGGCAACAAACUUUUAUUUUCAGGUUGACGAUCAGUUAACUGGACUGUGAAAGCUGUUGUACCCUACCGCGAGGAGGAGACAGACGUCUUGCUGGUGCCAGAGAGGACCCUUCUGCUGGUGUGCUGUGCUUAUGUGUUAACGUGGGAACACGUGACACGGCAACUGUGAGUGCUGGGCCGCGCCCUGCUGGCGGCCUUGACCCAGUUUCACCAACUAUCCCCUUGAACUGCCUGGAGGCUGAGUACUGGUUUUUUGUGCUUUUAUUUUGCUGCUUGGCAACAAGUGAAGUGGCCAUGUUGUUUUAGGUCCCAUCGCACCCGAGCCACUACUCAGGCCUGCUACAAGGUGUUUGUUAACACAGAAAGACUGUUGCAGUUAAGGUGUGUGUGUCAGUGAGAGUGUGUGUGGGCCCACCAUAUUAUUUAAUUAUUUGGUUUCAGUUGAUAUUAGAUACCUUACCAUUGCUUGACAAACUUUAUUAACGUUACUUAUUUUCUUUUUUGUUAUUGGAAAUAAUUGGGAGUGGAGUUGAAUUUAUAAUUGACCCACUUGUGUGUGGUUCAUUUCCAUAUAGUCUAUUUUAUUGCACAUUUCAUGUCACAUACAUCAGAAAGGGAGUGUCAGUAGUAAGUAACAACAGGAACCCAGGGCCCCUCUCAAUAAAGCGCGGGACGCAUGUUGCACAUAAGUUGGAGUUUUUGACCACUGGCAAUGCUAUUAAUGCUAUUGUUUUCAGGUGAAGACCUGCAUGUUUCACAUUCAAAAUGCUUGAAUGUAUACAAAUACAGACAAAUUCCUGAAAACAGUUACAUGCUAUUGCAGUGAUGGACAGUUAUUGGCCAAAAUCAGCAACUUGCCAGAAAAGGCAAUAAAGAAGAGAUGUGGAAGCGACAAUGCAAAUGCAAGGAGGAAGAAACAAAACAAAAACAGGGCUUGUGAUAGCAAACUUAUGGUAGGAAAAAAUAGAGGAUUGGUAAUACAAGCAAAAAAAAAAAAAA